GGUUCGUAAGUGGAGGUUAUCAUUGGAAACAUGUCCUCAGGGAACCAACCUCCUGCUCAGAUCUCUGGCCUUGCCCUUUUAGAAUUUUCCUGUCUCAUACCCUCAUUGCGUCUGCUCCACCUGUUCACCUCUGGUACAGAAACCUGGGUUUCUGGGAAGAAAGAUUCUGCGUAUCUUCUUCCACCUUUUAGCUCUGAACUGUUCAGGAUCCUAUUGUUUUGAGAGCAACUAAGAUCUCAUCUGGCAACUUUGAAGUUGAUAAUAUGAUAUUGCUGACUAUACGUCUCUGUUGGAGCUCUCGUGUGUACUGUAGAUGUAGCAGCAUGCCUGGUGUCUAUACAGCUACCUAGAGCACCACCUCUCCCCCAGUAGUCAUGGACAAAUAAAUGCCUUCGAAUAUUGUCAACUGUCGCCUCAGGGAAAAAUUGCUUUUGGUUAAGAAUGGCUGACGUAGAUCUACCCAUUUAGCAACAAUAGCUUUUUUUUUCAACAUUUUAUGGUAUCUCACAUCUUCCAUUACUUCUCUUCUGCCUAAGAUAAAUAAUGUAGAAUUUUCUUUAGUGAAGUCUGUAGGUUUUUUUUUUUUUUUUUUUUUUUUUUUGUAAAAAUGAGAGAAGGCUAUUUUUUC